ensembl:snRNA U6 U6 spliceosomal RNA
GUGCCCAUUUCAGCAGGACAAACACUAAAACUGGAAUGAUACCGAGGUUAGCAUGGCCCCUAUGCAAAAAUGACAUGCAAAUUCAUGAAAUACUCCCUAGUUUU